GGAACCCCCAAAAGCGAAGGCAUUCCAGCUGGGGCGACCCCUGACGUUGAGAGACGAAAGGCGUGGGCAUAAAAAAGGAUUAGAUACCCCUUGUAUUCCCACGCUGUAAACGAUGGACACUAGCUAUCUUGAAGGUGUCGACCCUUCCAGGUGGCGAAGCUAACGCGUUAAGUGUCCCGCCUGGGAAGUACCGGCGGCAACGCUAAAACUCAAAGGAAUAGACGGGGAUUCCACACAAGCGGUGGACCAUGUGGCUCAAUUCGAUAACAAGCGAGGAACCUUACCAGGGCUUGACAUUCUAAUGAAAACCCGGUGAAAGCCGGGACUACCCACAAGGACAUUAGAACAGGUGCUGCAUGGUUGUCGUCAGCAUGUACCUUGAGGCGCUCCCUUAAAUGGGGCAACAUGCGCAACCCUUAUCCCUGCGUUUUAAGUGUCGUAGGAAACUGCCCGGGAUAACUGGGAGGAAGGUGGGGAUGACGCCAAAUCAGCAUGGCCCUUUGAUGGCCCUGGG
rnacentral:rRNA from 1 species